rnacentral:rRNA from 1 species
AACGAACGCUGGCGGCAUGCCUAACACAUGCAAGUCGAACGAGACCUUCGGGUCUAGUGGCGCACGGGUGCGUAACGCGUGGGAAUCUGCCCUUGGGUUCGGAAUAACAGCGAGAAAUUGCUGCUAAUACCGGAUGAUGACGUAAGUCCAAAGAUUUAUCGCCCAAGGAUGAGCCCGCGUAGGAUUAGCUAGUUGGUGAGGUAAAGGCUCACCAAGGCGACGAUCCUUAGCUGGUCUGAGAGGAUGAUCAGCCACACUGGGACUGAGACACGGCCCAGACUCCUACGGGAGGCAGCAGUGGGGAAUAUUGGACAAUGGGCGAAAGCCUGAUCCAGCAAUGCCGCGUGAGUGAUGAAGGCCUUAGGGUUGUAAAGCUCUUUUUACCCGGGAUGAUAAUGACAGUACCGGGAGAAUAAGACUCCGGCUAACUCCGUGCCAGCAGCCACGGUAAU